rnacentral:rRNA from 1 species
UACGGAGGGUGCAAGCGUUAUCCGGAUUUACUGGGUUUAAAGGGUGCGUAGGUGGAUUGGUAAGUCAGUGGUGAAAUACUUUCGCUUAACGAAGGAACUGCCAUUGAUACUAUCAAUCUUGAAUGUAGUGGAGGUAGGCGGAAUGCGUCAUGUAGCGGUGAAAUGCUUAGAUAUGACGCAGAACACCAAUUGCGAAGGCAGCUUGCUACACUACUAUUGACACUGAGGCACGAAAGCGUGGGGAUCAAACAGGAUUAGAUACCCUGGUAGUCCACGCCCUAAACGAUGAUUACUCGAUCUCGGCGAUACACAGUCGGGGUCUAUGUGAAAGCAUUAAGUAAUCCACCUGGGGAGUACGAUCGCAAGAUUGAA